GACGAACGCUGGCGGCGCGCUUAACACAUGCAAGUCGAACGGAAAGGCCUGCUUUCCCUUGUGGAUUGCGGGUACUCGAGUGGCGAACGGGUGAGUAACACGUGAGUGAUCUGCCCCCAACUUGGGUAUAAGCCUGGGAAACUGGGUCUAAUUCCCGAUAGGACUGCAGGGUGGUGCCUGUGGUGGAAAACGAUUUUCUAGUGGUUGGGGAUGAGCUCGCGGCCUAUCAGCUUGUUGGUGGGGUAAUGGCCUACCAAGGCGGCGACGGGUAGCCGGCCUGAGAGGGUGGACGGCCACAUUGGGACUGAGAUACGGCCCAGACACCUACGGGAGGCAGCAGUGGGGAAUAUUGCACAAUGGGCGGAAGCCUGAUGCAGCGACGCCGCGUGGGGGAUGACGGCCUUCGGGUUGUAAACUCCUUUCGACCGCGAGGAAGCCACCUGGUUGGAAGGGUGGUGACGGUAGUGGUAGAAGAAGCACCGGCUAACUACGUG
rnacentral:rRNA from 1 species